UUGCGUAGGUGGUCUAAUAAGCGAAUAGUGAAAUCUGGUGGCUCAACCAUUCAGACUAUUACUCGAACUGUUAGACUCGAGAACAGCAGAGGUAACUGGAAUUUCUAGUGUAGGAGUGAAAUCCGUAGAUAUUAGAAGGAACACCAAUGGCGUAGGCAGGUUACUGGCUGUUUCUGACACUGAGGCACGAAAGCGUGGGAGGCGAACC
rnacentral:rRNA from 1 species